AUUGAACGCUGGCGGCAUGCUUUACACAUGCAAGUCGAACGGUAACAGGGUGCUUGCACCGCUGACGAGUGGCGAACGGGUGAGUAAUGCGUCGGAACGUGCCGAGUAGUGGGGGAUAACGCAGCGAAAGUUGUGCUAAUACCGCAUACGUACUGAGGUAGAAAGUGGGGGACCUUCGGGCCUCACGCUAUUCGAGCGGCCGACGUCUGAUUAGCUAGUAGGUGAGGUAAAGGCUCACCUAGGCGACGAUCAGUAGCGUGUCUGAGAGGAUGGUCCGCCACACUGGGACUGAGACACGGCCCAGACUCCUACGGGAGGCAGCAGUGGGGAAUUUUGGACAAUGGGCGAAAGCCUGAUCCAGCCAUGCCGCGUGUCUGAAGAAGGCCUUCGGGUUGUAAAGGACUUUUGUCGGGGAGGAAAUCCCCAGCGUUAAUACCGCUGGGGGAUGACAGUACCUGAAGAAUAAGCACCGGCUAACUACGUGCCAGCCGCCGCGGUAA
rnacentral:rRNA from 1 species